AUGGCGGAAAACGUUCGACGUUCAGCAUCUUAUGAUAUAUUAAAUGACGAACAAAAAAAAAGAUCUUGAGGGAUUAUUAUGAUCGAGGAAUGAUUUCAACAGCAGGUAGUAUGAGGGAUGUCAUCCAAGAAGCUGCGAACCAAGCUAAUAUCACGUUUGAAAGAGUCAAGGCCCAGGGAUGCUUUUGCUGAUGGUAAGAGAGUUGUGUUGUAUAAGGAGGCUCUUGUUCAUCACGAGAGAGGUACGAGAAAGUUAUAUUGUAAAAGGUGAAAAGUAAAAGCACGUACAAACAUUCUUAGA